rnacentral:lncRNA from 1 species
CUCCGCGCCUUUGAAUGUUGUGGUACUUACUGUGGCUUUAAAUUUUGUUAUUAAUCUUGGGCCUUAACUUAACCUGACGUGAAUUUCCCCGGGUUUAAUUUCAUUCAAGCAAGCUCAAUAAUUAGGUAUUAUUAGACAAGGCCUUAUGUUGUACUUUGUCUUUUUAAAAUUAUGCUGAUUUGAGUUUUUGUGUAAUAUGUAGUGACUGUUUUGCAUUUGUUCUGUUUUGUGAGGACUAUUGCUAUUGACUACCAGAUUCAACUUCAAGCUCGAGUUAUUUAGGUACUUUUUGUUAGUACUUUAUGUUGUUUUUUAUUUAUAGCAUGAUUUUAAUGUUUGCGUACGAGUAGGAUGCAUUUGCAUUUUUUUUGUUUUGCAAGGGUAUACUGUUGACUAUCGGGUUUUUAAUUUCAGCUAAUUUAUUAGUGUAAUUAGUAGUAAUUGCCGUAAUGUUGUACUUUACGUUUUUUUAAAUUAUGCUAAUUUGAAUUUUUGGUAUGAGUGUGACUAUUUUGCAUUUAUUCUUGUUUGUGAGGACUAUUGCUAUUGAAUAUCGGACUCAAGUGGGUGUACCGUGCUAAUAGCGAUGCCUAGGCCCAAGUACGCUCAAAUCCAUAUCUCCACGCCUUUGAAUGUUGUGAACGUACUGUGCUUUAAAUUUGUGGUAUAUUCUUGGCCUUAAUUAACUUGAACUUGAAGUUCCCCGGGUUCAAUUUCAAGCUCAAGUUAAUUAGGUAUUAUUAGACAAGGCCUUAUGUUGUACUUCGUCUUUUUAAAAUUAUGCUGAUUUGAGUUUUUGUGUAAUAUGUAGUGACUGUUUUGCAUUUGUUCUGUUUUGCGAGGACUAUUGCUAUUGACUACCAGAUUCAACUUCAAGCUCGAGUUAUUUAGGUACUUUUUGUUAGUACUUUAUGUUGUUUUUUAUUUAUAGCAUGAUUUUAAUGUUUGAGUAACGAGUAGUGACUGCUUUGCAUUUUUUUUGUUUUGCGAGGAGUAAUACUGUUGACUCAUCAGGUUUAUUUCAAUCUCCAAGUUAUUAGAGUAUUAGUAGUUUAUGGUCGUAUGUUGUACUUUGUCUUUUUUAAUUACGCUAAUGUUGAAUUUUGAGUAAUGAGUUUGACUAUUUUGCAAUUUAGUUGUUUUGGUGAGGACCUAUUGCUAUUGAAUAUCGACUCAAGUGGGUGUACCGUUCUAAUAGCGAUGCCUAGGCCCAAGUACGCUCAAAUACAUAUUCUCACGACUUGAAUGUUGUGGUACGUAACUGUGGCUUUAAAUUUUGUAUAUUUAUCUUGGGCCUUAAUUAACUUGAACUUGAAGUUCCCCGGGUUCAAUUUCAAGCUCAAGUUAAUUAGGUAUUGUUAGACAAGGCCUUAUGUUGUAAUUUGUCUUUUUAAAAUUAUGCUGAUUUGAGUUUUUGUGUAAUAUGUAGUGACUGUUUUGCAUUUGUUCUGUUUUGUGAGGACUAUUGCUAUUGACUACCAGAUUCAACUUCAAGCUCGAGUUAUUUAGGUACUUUUUGUUUGUACUUUAUGUUUUUUAUUUAUAGCAUAUUUUAAUGUUUGAGUAACGUGGUAGUGACUGCUUUGAAUUUUUUGUUUUGCGGAGGACUAAUAUGUUGACUAUCGGGUUUAAUUUCAAUUCUCAAAGUUAUUAGGGUAAUUAGUUAGUUAUGGCCGUAUGUUGUACUUUGUUUUUUCACAUUAUUGCUAAUUGAAUUUUUGGAGUAAUGAGUUGUGACUUAUUUUGGCAUUUAUUUUGUUGUAGUACGGACUAUUGAUAUGACUAUCGUGACUCAAGUGGUGUGUUACCGUGCUAAUAGCGAUGCCUAGGGGCCAAGUACUCUCAAACAUUAUAUCCUCGGCCUUUGGAAUGUUGUGGUUCUUAAGUAACCUGAACUUGAAGUUCCCCGGGUUCAAUUUCCAGCUCAAAGUUAUUAGUUAUUAUUAGGGCAAGGCCUUAUGUUGUACUUUGUCUUUUUAAAAUUAUGCUGAUGUGAGUUUUUGUGUAAUAUGUAGCGAUGUUUUGAUUUGUUCGUUUGCGAGGGACUAUUGCUAUUGACUACGGAUCAACUUCAACGGCUCGAGUUUUUAGGUACUUUUUGUUAGACUUUAUGUGUUUGAUUUAUAGCAUCAUGAUUUUAAGUUUGAGUAACGAGUGAGUGGAAUGCUUUGCAUUUUUUUGUUUUGCGCAGGGAGUAAUUAAUGUUGACUAUCAGGUUUAAUUUCAAGCUCAAGUUAUUAGGGUAUUAGUAGGUUAUGGGACCGUAUUUGUACUUUGUCUUUUUCAAAUUAUGCUAAUUUGAAUUUUUGAGUAAUGAGUUGUGACUAUUUGCAUGUAAUUUGUUUAAGUGAGGACUAUUGCUAAUUGGACUAUUGGACUCAAGUUGGUUGUACCGUUGCUAAUAGGGAUGCCUAGGCCAAAAGUACUAUCAAUCAUAUCUCCGCGCCUUGGAAAUGGUGUGGUACGAACUGGUGGCUUUAAAUUUGGUAUAUUUUUUCUUGGGCCUUAAUUAACCUGAACUUGAAGUUCCCCGGGUUCAUUCAAGCUCAAGUAAUAGGUAUUAUUAGAUAAGGCCUUCUUAUGAGAUUUGUCUUUUUAAAAUUAUGUUGAUUUGAGUUUUUGUGUAAUAUGUAGUGACUGUUUUGCAUUUGUUCUGUUUUACGAGGACUAUUGCUAUUGAUUAUCGAACUCAACUUCAAUCUCGAGUUAUUUAGGUACUUUUUGUUAGUACUUUAUUUAUUUCAAAUUAUUUUUUUUGUUUUGCGAGGACUAAUACUGUUGACUAUCGGGUUUAAUUUUAAGCUCAAGUUAUUAGGGUAUUAGUAGUUAUGGCCGUAUGUUGUACUUUGUCUUUUCAAAAUUAUGCUAAUUUGAAUUUUGGAGUAAUGGAGUUGUGACCUAGUUGCAUUUAUUUUGUUUAGUGAGGACUAUUGCUAUGAACUAUCGUAACUCAAGUGGGCUUGAUACCGUGCUAUAACGAUAGCCUAGGCCCAAGGACUCUCAAUCCAUAUCUCCACGCCUUGAAUGUUGUGGUACGGAACGUGGCUUGAAAAUUUUUGUAUAUUUAUCUUGCGCCUUAAUUAAACUGGAACUUGAAGUUCACCGGGGUUCAAUUCAAGCUCAGUUAAUUAGGUAUUAUAGACCAAGGCCUUAUGUUGUAACUUUGUCUUUUUAAAUUAUUAUGUGAUGAGUUUUGUGUAAUAUGUAGUGGACUGUUUUGCCUUUGGUUUGUUUUCGGAGGACUAUGGCUAUUGACUACCGGGUUCACUUCAAUCUCGAGGUUAUUUAGGUACUUUUUGGUUAGUAUUUUAUGUGGUUUUUUAUUUAUAGCAUUGAUUUCUACUGUUUGAGUAACGAGUAAGUGACUCUUUGGGUGCAUUUUUUUGUUUUGCGAGGAGUAAUUAUGUGGACUAUCGGGUUAAUUUUCAAUCUCAAGUUAUUAGUGUAUUAGUAGUAUGCCCGUAGUAUGUUGUACUGUCUUUUCAAAUUAUUGCUAAUUUGAAUUUUUGGUAAUGAGUGUGACUAUUUUGCAUUAUUUUGUAUAGUGAGGACUAUUGCUAUUGACUAUCGGGACUCAAAGGGUUGUACGCGUUGAUAAUAGCGAUGCUAGGCCCAAAGUAGCCUCAAUUCCAUAUCUCCACGCCUUUGAAUGUUGUGUACGUAACUGUGCCUUUAAUUUGCUAAUUUGUCUUGGGCCUUAAUUAACCUUGAACUGAAGUUCCCCGGGUUCAAUUUCAAGCUUCACAGUUAAUAGGUAUAUGAAGACAAAAGGCCUUUUGUUGUACUUUGGGUUUUUUAAAAUUAUGCUGAUUUGAGUUUUUGUGUAAUAUGUAGGGGACUGUUUGGCAUUUGUUCUGUUUUGCGAGGAAUAUGCUAUUGACUACCGGAUGGAAUUCAACUUCUAAGCUCGAGUUAUUAGGUACCUUUUUGUUAGUACUUAUGUUGUUUUUUUUAUUUAUAGCAUGAUUUAAUGUUUGGAGUAAACGAGUAGUGAUGCUUUGCAUUUUUUUUGUUUUGCAGAGGAGUAAUAAGUUGACUAUCGGUUAAUUUCAAUCUCAAGUUAUUAGUGUAUAGUAGUUAUGGCCGUUUGUUGUACUUUGUCUUUUUCAAAUUAUGCUAAUUUGAAUUUUUGGGUGGUAAUGAGUUGUGGAACUAUUUUGCAUUAUUUUGGUUGUUCCCUUGGGAACUAUUGCUAUGAAUAUGGGACUCGCAAGUGGGGUACCGUGCUAAUAGCGAUCCCUAGGCCCAAGUACGCUCAAAUCCAUAUCUCCACGCCUUUUUGAAUGUUGUGGACUUAAAUGUGCUGUUAAAUUUUGUAUAUUUAUCUUGGGCCUUUAAUAACUUCUAAUUGAAGUGCCCCGGGGUUCAAUUUCAAGCGAUAGUUAAUUAGGUAAUUGUUCGACAGCCUACUAAUGUGUAAUUUCUCUGUUUAAAAUUUAUGCUGUGAUAAUUGUGAUUUGAUUGAAUUUUUGUGUAAUAUGUAGUGACUGUGGUUUGCAUUUGUUGUUCUGUGAGGGACUAUUGUAUUGACUUACCAGCUUCAACUUCAGCUCGAGUUAUUUAGGUACUUGUGUUAGUUACUUUAUGUUGUUUUGUAGUUUAUAGAAUGUUUAAUGUUGCGUAACGAGUCGGAUGAUUUGCGUUUUUUUUUUUUGUUGCGAGGACUAAUACUGUUGACUAUCGGGUUAAUUUCAAGCUCAAGGUAAUUAGGGUAUAGUAGUUAUGGCGUAUGUUGUACUUUGUCUUUUUCAAAUUAUGCUAAUUUGAAUUGUUGAGUUAAUGGAGUUGUGACUUAUUUUGCAUUUAUUUUGUUUAGUGAGGACUAUGCUAUUGGAAUAUUGUGACUCAAGGCGGUUUGGUACCGUGACUAAUAGCCGAUGCCUAGGCCAAGUAGUAACUCUCAAAUCCAUAUUCGCGCCUUUGAACUGUGCGUGGUACGUAAUUGUGGUUUUAAAUUUGAAUUUAUCUGGGCUUUAUAAACCUGAAAUUGAAGGUCCCCG